rnacentral:rRNA from 1 species
UACGAAGGGGGGCUAGCGUUGCUCGGAAUUACUGGGCGUAAAGGGCGCGUAGGCGGGUCGUUAAGUUGGGGGUGAAAGCCCAGGGCUCAACCCUGGAAUUGCCUUCAAUACUGGCGACCUUGAGUAUGGCAGAGGUGUGUGGAACUCCGAGUGUAGAGGUGAAAUUCGUAGAUAUUCGGAAGAACACCAGUGGCGAAGGCGACACACUGGGCCAUUACUGACGCUGAGGCACGAAAGCGUGGGGAGCGAACAGG